rnacentral:rRNA from 1 species
CGAUACUUGGUGUGAAUUGCAGAAUUCAGUGAAUCAUCGAAUCUUUGAACGCACAUUGCGCCCGCCAGUAUUCUGGCGGGCAUGCCUGUUCGAGCGUCAUUUCAACCAUCAAGCCCCGGGCUUGUGUUGGGGACCUGCGGCUGCCGCAGGCCCCGAAAUGCAGUGGCGGGCUCGCUGUCACACCGAGCGUAGUAGCAUUAUCUCGCUCUGGGCGUGCUGCGUGUCCCGGCCGUAAAACGACCUUACACCCAAGGUUGACCUCGGAUCAGGUAGGAAGACCCGCUGAACUUAAGCAUAUCAAUAAGCGGAGGAA